UUGGAGUCCGAACUCUCACUUUCUAACCCUGUGCACUUGUUUGGGAUAGUAACUCUCGCAAGAGAGCGAACUCCUAUUCACUUAUAAACACAAAGUCUAUGAAUGUAUUAAAUUUUAUAACAAAAUAAAACUUUCAACAACGGAUCUCUUGGCUCUCGCAUCGAUGAAGAACGCAGCGAAAUGCGAUAAGUAAUGUGAAUUGCAGAAUUCAGUGAAUCAUCGAAUCUUUGAACGCACCUUGCGCUCCAUGGUAUUCCGUGGAGCAUGCCUGUUUGAGUGUCAUGAAUACUUCAACCCUCCUCUUUCUUAAUGAUUGAAGAGGUGUUUGGUUUCUGAGCGCUGCUGGCCUUUACGGUCUAGCUCGUUCGUAAUGCAUUAGCAUCCGCAAUCGAACUUCGGAUUGACUUGGCGUAAUAGACUAUUCGCUGAGGAAUUCUAGUCUUCGGACUAGAGCCGGGUUGGGUUAAAGGAAGCUUCUAAUCAGAAUGUCUACAUUUUAAGAUUAGAUCUCAAAUCAGGUAGGACUACCCGCUGAACUUAAGCAUAUCAAUAAGCGGAGGAAAAGAAACUAACAAGGAUUCCCCUAGUAGCGGCGAGCGAAGCGGGAAGAGCUCAAAUUUAUAAUCUGGCACCUUCGGUGUCCGAGUUGUAAUCUCUAGAAAUGUUUUCCGCGUUGGACCGCACACAAGUCUGUUGGAAUACAGCGGCAUAGUGGUGAGACCCCCGUAUAUGGUGCGGACGCCCAGCGCUUUGUGAUACAUUUUCGAAGAGUCGAGUUUGUUUGGGAAUGCAGCUCAAAUUGGGUGGUAAAUUCCAUCUAAAGCUAAAUAUUGGCGAGAGACCGAUAGCGAACAAGUACCGUGAGGGAAAGAUGAAAAGCCACUUUGGAAAGAGAGUUAACAGUACGUGAAAAUUGUUGGAAGGGAAACGCUUGAAGUCAGACUUGCUUGCCGAGCAAUCGGUUUGCAGGCCAGCAUCAGUUUUCCGGGAUGGAUAAUGGUAGAGAGAAGGUAGCAGUUUCGGCUGUGUUAUAGCUCUCUGCUGGAUACAUCUUGGGGGACUGAGGAACGCAGUGUGCCUUUGGCGGGGGUUUCGACCU
rnacentral:sRNA from 1 species